rnacentral:lncRNA from 1 species
AUCUGAGAAGAAAAUACACUUAAAAGGUUGAUAAUUAAUUACAUUAGUAAAAUAGAAGAGACAAGGACAUUGAAUGGAGACAGAUAAAUGAAAAAUACAAAAAGAAAUAAUUAAAUAUAUUUUCAAAUAACGAAGAGGACAGGUAUUUUUAUUUUGCCUUCCUAAAACACAUGAUUUCCGAUGCUACUCCUGAUAGGUUGCUCUCCCUCACAUGACCGGAAGUACUAAAUUCAGCGGUUUAGUGAGUGCUUUUGAAAUAAUUAAAAAAAAAAAACAUGAUAGCCAGAGAAUGGGUUGUUAUUUUAUUUAGCCAUUUAUUUCAGCAUACACAGGUUUAUUCUUAAUACUUGGAAAUACCCGCCGUGCAAGCCCGUUGAAGCAAUGAAGUGGUGAAAUGUAGAUUAUUCGGUCCAAACGGUACCACUUCUGUGAAAAAUGCUUCAAUGAGAUUCAAGUAGAGAGCGUGACAUUGGGUGAUGAUCCGGCACAGCCACAGACGUAAGUGCAACAGACAUUUGUGAAUCUGCCAGUGAAAACUAGAACCAAAAUCUGUUCCCCCACCUUCUCUCUUAUUAGCCUUCUCACUCAUUUCUCCCGCUUUAGUUAAAAAGUAGUUUUCUCAGAAAUGAUACAACUGUGUUUUGUACUGCAUACUGUCACAUUUAAAAAAAUAAAUGUUUUUGCUCAAAUUCAGGAGGAUAUCAAAAGACCAAUUUGAACGUAGAAGAAUGAUGUACUUGAUCAAGAACCGUAAGUAAACGGGGGAGGGGGCUUUGAGGCAGUGGAAGCUUUUAUAUUGUCUUUUGCUGAUAGUUACAAUUCUUGCUUUUUUUAAACUCGGGGUAUGCUACUGCUAACUUGUAGGUGUGUAACAUUAGGGAGACAUGAACUCAAUUCAUAUUCUAAUUUUUCACAAUAGUGGCUUUCAUGCAGAUUAGGACACAAUCCAGAGAACUGAAACAGUCUUGUAUCUUCUUUUCUUCAGGUUUGUUGAAUGUAAAGAUUGUGGACGAAAGAUGCACCAAAUGUGUUUUACACUACGAUGUCAUUUGGCCAUCUGGGACAAGCAUUUUAAUCUGGAUUAGCAUGAGCGGAAGAAGGCGAAAUACGCUGAGCUUGUUGAGUCCUGCAGGGAGAAUGGGUGGAGGACCCGGCGCAAUACCCACCAACGUCCUGCAGGACCUCCUCCAUACUCUCCACGUGGGGAGGUUCUGCAGUGCCCUGCUCAAUGUUUUGUAAGUUUGUUAUUUUAGUUUGGACUGGAGAUUUCUGGUAGUCCUGUUUUCGUUUUUAUGUAGAUUUUGUAGUUUAGAGGGUGGAUGGCCCUGUAUAGGGUUUGCCCAGUGUUCUCCCUACUUUUGUUUAGUUUGGCCAGGAUCUUCAGUCCCUUUUAGUUUGUUCUGUUGCUACUUUUGAUCACUUUGUUAAUAAAUACUUUUGAUAAUCGUUCUGUGUUUGUCGU